AUGGGAAAAAAAGUUUGUGUUAAUACUACAGCGAUUUAUCUGCUUUAUUGUUUUUCCCAGCGUGGUGAUUUACCUGAAAUAGCGCAGAACAUAUAUGAGAGCAAGCUAAGGGAAGUUAUCCCACCUCUUCUCAAAAUGUUGUGUUGUGGAGGGUCCUGAUGACUGGAAUCUCUUAGCAAUGCCACGACUGACAGCCAGGCCGUUUCUGCGUGGAAUCUGUCAGAAUCUGGGCUCCCUAAAGGCGAAGGUUCCAGCAAGUCUGGGCAGGUUUUCAGUCUGAAGGAAGAACGGGGAGGCAUAUUAACCAAACAGCUCAUCAUUCCCUCUCUGGUGGACACAGAGAUUUCUUCCCCCUGUAGGGGAAGGUGGGCUCUUUCGUUAAAUUUUCAUUUAUUGAAAGGAAACCUCCCUCUGCUAAGCCAGCAAAGUGCCUUUUGGACAGUCCAUUAGUAUCGGUGAAUAUAAUUGUUAAUUCUUCAGGCCCUCGUAUCUGAGCACUGAGACUGCUAGAAACAGUAACUGCACAAUGUUGAUGGUGACAAAAUCCAUCCAGCAAACAGAGCCAGUUAUUAAAAUACAUGCAAAAGGCUGCAGACCAGGCACUCCAAACCCAGGACAUGCUAGGGUGAAGUUUGCUUACACAACCUUAGUUUAGGAAUCUUGAAAUAAUUCAAUGCCAUUUUUUCUCAGCCUCCUUGGAGUGAAUCGGGGUUGUGUGCUGAUGGAACGUGGACCUGGUUGGCAAUGCUGGGAGAUGCACAAUGAGACAGGAGACUACACGACAGGCAAAGGACAGUCUCAUGGCUCAGAGGGCUGAGCAUCGGCCUGGAGAACUGAAUUCUAUCCAUGUUUGUGUCACAGAUCACCUGUGUCGUACCAGACAGGUGACAUAAACUCCACUUUUCACAGGUGGUGACUAAGUGUAUAUGCUUUAUUUUCAUAAGUUCUGUAUUUGAGACACUCAGAAGUGAGGAAUGACCACAACUGUAGGCAGGUCCUCACCCUGAAGCAUGGGAGCAGUGAUGUUGUCAGAAAAGAGGUCACAGAAACUUCUUCUAAGCCAAGGGUCGUCCUUGGAAAUUGUUGAAUCUAUUUUUUUAAGUUGUCCCAAUGUAAACUGAGUGUGUGUCUAGCCAGGUGGGGGAAGACAUUCGGCUUG
rnacentral:lncRNA from 1 species